CUCUCUCUCUCAUAGGCUAGGCUGUGCAGAGUCCAAAAAGGCUGCCCUCAUUCAUACGUCAUUCUGACUGAAUCCGAUAUGAUCUGACACUGAUUACCUAAAAGAAUCAUUAAUCUUUGUUUUAACCUUUUUAAUCUUUGUGUUUCAAGUGUCCCAUCUGUCCCGUCCAGACCUUCCACACAGGAUCCCUCAAAGUCAAAGAUUUCCCAGAUCAGCUCCUGCAGGAUGCACAGGUAUUUUGGACAAGUUCUCUCUACUGUUGUCACUACACUACUGUAUUAUGAGCAUUGCUAGUUAAUUGUUUUUUUUUUUUUUUUUAGUUUUUUGUAAAAUGUUUUUUAGAUUUUAGUAAAAUUGUUGUUCAAAAUGAAAUGAAACAGUGUUUGAAUGAAAUGAAACAGUGUUUUUUACUUUUGUACUGUAGCCCAUUUGUGGCAAUCAAUAAAAAAUAUAAAAAUUAA